rnacentral:rRNA from 1 species
UCCGGUGAUAAAAGCAAUCUGGCUCCACCUGAUUCCAUUUCGAACUCAGUAGUGAAACAGUUUAGCGUUGACGAUAGUGUUCGGGCAACUGGACGCGAAAAUAAAUCAUCGCCGGAU